rnacentral:lncRNA from 1 species
UUUGGAAGUGAUAAAGGAGAUUGAGGACGGCUGGUGGCUGGGAAAGAAGAACGGGCAAUUGGGAGCCUUCCCAUCCAACUUUGUGGAAUUGCUGGACAGUGGGCCCCCAAGCCUUGGAAACACAGACAUGCCUUCGAUCAUUCCUACUUCACAGAGGCCUCCUAAGCUGAGCAACUUGACCUAUGACAGCCCUCCAGAUUACCUGCGGACAGUCUCCUGCCCUGAGACCUGCAGGGUCCUGUUU